rnacentral:tRNA from 1 species
GCCUGGGUGGUUCAGUCGGCUGAGCGUCCGACUUUGGCUCAGGUCAUCACCUCACAGUUUGUGGGUUCAAUCCCCAUGUCAGGCU